rnacentral:rRNA from 1 species
GCAGGCUCGCGCUUGAAUACAUUAGCAUGGAAUAAUGAAAUAGGACGUUUGAUUCUAUUUUGUUGGUUUCCAGGAUCGACGUAAUGAUUAAUAGGGAUAGUUGGGGGCAUUAGUAUUCAAUUGUCAGAGGUGAAAUUCUUGGAUUUAUUGAAGACUAACUACUGCGAAAGCAUUUGCCAAGGAUGUUUUCAUUAAUCAAGAACGAAAGUUAGGGGAUCGAAGACGAUCAGAUACCGUCGUAGUCUUAACCAUAAACUAUGCCGACUAGGGAUCGGAUGAUGUUAAUUUUUUAAUGACUCAUUCGGCGCCUUACGGGAAACCAAAGUGUUUGGGUUCCGGGGGGAGUAUGGUCGCAAGGCUGAAACUUAAAGGAAUUGACGGAAGGGCACCACCAGGGGUGGAGCCUGCG